UCGAUCCUUGUCCGCCGGGGCUGCAGUUCCCGGCUGCGGCGCCGUCGACGGCGGUGCGGCAUGUGUCGUUCAAUGGGACGGGGUCGGU
rnacentral:tRNA from 1 species